GUGGGAGUCACCUGGUUGGGCCAUUGUAGCAGCGGCAGCAGUGAAGAAGAUAGAGUAUAUCCCGCCAGAGGAGCCGCCCAUGUCAGUGGCGGCUAUUUCUGCCAGCACGGACAGAACACGGGCUGGCUGAUUCAGUGGAAGGUGGAUCCACAGUCCCCGUCCCCACACUCCGCGUCCAAAGCGUUCAGAUCCUGCUCGUGUUGCGGCAUCUUGGCCACCACAGCCUCCAAACACUGGCGCACUGCUUGCACGUGGCCCUCCUCCCUCAGUGUGUAGAUGUUCUCCUGCCGAGAUGAGGACAUGUUGUGUAGUAUGUAUAUCUCGGAGAAUAAAAAAAUAAAAGGAUAAAUUUGUGAUGAAAACCAUUAAAA